CCUCGGGGGGCUGCAGUGGGGAAUAUUGGACAAUGGGCGAAAGCCUGAUCCAGCCAUGCCGCAUGUGUGAAGAAGGCCUUCGGGUUGUAAAGCACUUUCAGUGGGGAAGAAAGCCUUGGGGCUAAUACCCUCGAGGAAGGACAUCACCCACAGAAGAAGCACCGGCUAACUCCGUGCCAGCAGCCGCGGUAAUACGGAGGGUGCGAGCGUUAAUCGGAAUUACUGGGCGUAAAGCGCGCGUAGGCGGUCUGAUAAGCCGGUUGUGAAAGCCCCGGGCUCAACCUGGGAACGGCAUCCGGAACUGUCAGGCUAGAGUGCAGGAGAGGAAGGUAGAAUUCCCGGUGUAGCGGUGAAAUGCGUAGAGAUCGGGAGGAAUACCAGUGGCGAAGGCGGCCUUCUGGACUGACACUGACGCUGAGGUGCGAAAGCGUGGGUAGCAAACAGGAUUAGAUACCCGGGUAGUC
rnacentral:rRNA from 1 species